UGGCCUGUCAGCCUAUAUUACAAAGAAUAUUAUUUGUUAUUUUAUGAUAUAUUAUUAUAUUAAUAUUGCUAUUAUAGUAAUUUUAUUUUGCUGUAUUAGUAAUAAUAUAGGACGAACUAUUUUUUAGCUGAAAACAUUGUACUCAUUAUAUUAUUUUUAUUUUCAAUAGCUUCCAGUAUCUACAUUAGUACAGCUCAGCGAUUUCAACUUUGCAAUGUAUAAAUAAAAGAUUACAUAAUGCUGUUGUAUUUACUGGAGCGAUUGUAUUUGAGCGGUGGUAUGGUGCUUGGUGCUUAAAGUUGGCCAUAGAGAAUUAAAAAUCGAUAACGAAUACAGCAAGCGCUUGAAAACAGGAUGUUUUAAUAAUUUACCAUCGAAAAAAUAUAAAUCGUUUGAAUAAAUAUUAAAAUGCAUUAAUGACUUGAACUCGAUCGUGAAAACAUAAUAUAUCUCCAGUUUUAAGAACAACAUGGACAAUUAAAACAUAAUAAUAAUCAACAAGCUGUGUCAAACAUGGAUCUAGGACUUUUUGCAUAAUGCUAUUACGGAGAUAAAAGGUACUAUAUAUUUGAACCAACUACUAUUUACUACUUCUACAAUAUCUCAACCACUUCAUCGACAAAUUAAAUUAAUAAUCAAGUAUAAAAAAUUACUGCAAACUCUGAUGCAAUCACUAUGUCAAUGAUAAACGAUUUAUUAUUGUGCGGUAGAAAUUAUAAUAUUACUCAAAAUUGUAUAAAGCGAUUCGUCGAGUAGAUAUGUAUAAAAGGUAAGUACAUAAACAACAAAUUAAAAAUAGGUAUUUUAUUUCUCAAGAUAAAUAAUAUAUUAUACAUAGGUAUUACAUAUGUAGGUAUUUAUAAUUAUAAUAAUUGGUAGCAAAAAAAAAAAAAAAAAUGUAAAAACUUUUUUUUUUUUUU